UUUAUCGAGACACAAAAAGCUUUAUUUUCAUGAAAUAUCAAUAGCACAUGCAACUCUAAUGCAACAUUAAAAACUUAAUAUAAUAGUAUCGACACCGAUAAUAGAAUAUUAAUUAUCUAGCAUCUCUACGGUAAAAAAAAAAUUAAAGUUAACUACUUUAACCAACUUUUGUUUUAUAAUGCAAAAAGCCCACAUCACUAAUAACAAUGAAAAUUAAAUAUUAAAUACAACCAACAAACAAGCAUGUGUAUUUGGAAUAGUAAUUCUAUAGGAUAAAAUGAGUUUGAGAUUAUUUUGAGAUUCAAUUAUUUUAGAAAGUUAUAAUAGAAACCUAGCCAGAAUGCUGUUCCAUUAUGACCAAAUUAAAAACAAAUGGAUGUUGAUUAGUAUUGCAAUUUUAUAUAAUUCACUCUUAUCUUCCACGUAUUGAUGUUAAUAUAUAACUUUGUAUGCUAGUACUAUAAUACGUGGAUAUAAAUGUUAUCACAAGGAACCUCAAUGCAAUGUAAAGUUAAAGCCUAGAUAAAGCCCUAGAUAAACUCCUAGAUAGAGCCCUAGAUAAACUCCUAGAGCCCUAGAAAAAGUCCUAGAUAGAGCCCUAGAAAGAGCCCUAGAUAGAGCCUUAGAAAAAGCCCUAGAUAAAUCCCUAAAUAAAGCCCUAGAUAGAGCCCUAGAAAAAGCCCUAGA